rnacentral:misc_RNA from 1 species
GCAAACUUGGUCAUUUAGAGGAAGUAAAAGUCGUAACAAGGUUUCCGUAGGUGAACCUGCGGAAGGAUCAUUACUGAAUAAAGUGUGGUUGGGGUUGUCGCUGGCAUCCAUCCAUGUAUGCAUGUGCACGCCUCGGCCACUCUGUCAUUCACCCUCUCCACCCGUGCAUUCUCUUGUAGGCCGGAUUGCCAGCCGUUUGCUGGUGUUCUCCUCUGAACACUUUGCUCUUUGGGACUUGCUGUUGCGGCUCUACAUCGUGUCAGCUCCUCUCGUAUUUGGCUCAUCUGGUCUAUGCAUCUUUACCAAACCCUCUCAUGUUUUCGUAUGUAUGGUGUUCACGGGCUUUGCCCCGUCACAUUAGCUUUUAUAAAGCGUGUAUGCACAACUUUCAACAACGGAUCUCUUGGCUCUCGCAUCGAUGAAGAACGCAGC